AACGCGAAGAACCUUACCUACACUUGACAUGUCUGGAAUCCUGAAGAGAUUUGGGAGUGCCCGAAAGGGAAUCAGAACACAGGUGCUGCAUGGCUGUCGUCAGCUCGUGUCGUGAGAUGUUGGGUUAAGUCCCGCAACGAGCGCAACCCUUGUCAUUAGUUGCUACGCAAGAGCACUCUAAUGAGACUGCCGGUGACAAACCGGAGGAAGGUGGGGAUGACGUCAAGUCCUCAUGGCCCUUAUGUGUAGGGCUUCACACGUCAUACAAUGGUCGGUACAGAGGGUUGCCAACCCGUGAGGGGGCGCUAAUCCCAGAAAGCCGAUCGUAGUCCGGAUCGCAGUCUGCAACUCGACUGCGUGAAGUCGGAAUCGCUAGUAAUCGCGGAUCAGCAUGUCGCGGUGAAUACGUUCCCGGGUCUUGUACACACCG
rnacentral:rRNA from 1 species